UUUCUAGAAGUGCAUCCCUGAACAGUGAAUGGACACAGCUGAUACACUCAUUUAUUCUAUGCAUUAUUUUUUAUUGUUAAACCUCCUUGCCUACAUUACCCACAAUGCAUCUAUCAGCAAACAGCUCAGGUUGAGAUUUGAUUGUUUAAAUGCUAGUAGCUGCUAAUGCAUAGCCCCAAAAAAGAGAUGAGGAGUAGGAGUCAGUGAUCUGGGGUGAAGACCAAACCAGAAGAAUUUUAAAAUCUGCCAGGUGGGAAGAAUCACGAUCCAAAUGUGGGUUAAUGUUCCUCCAUGUCUGAUGAGGAUUAACCCAAAAACAGAACUGAUUGUAAUUAAUUGGAUUCUCUUGGUUCAUUGCAUCCCCCAUUGGAGCACUCGUACAUUUGUUUCU